rnacentral:lncRNA from 1 species
AGCUUUUGCCUCGAUCCCUUGAAGACUCAUUUCGGAGCAUCUCUUUCUCAAAGUCAAUUGACAAUUCAUCUGAGUUUAGCAGUGCCAGAUUCUCGGACAUUGUUGGAACCUGCUAUGAAGAGGAUGAGAGAAAGGAGAGACCUUUGAUUCUCCGGAAUAAACCACCACGAUGGCAUGAGCAGUUACAGUGUUGGUGCCUGAACUUUAGAGGUAGGGUGACUGUGGCAUCUGUCAAGAAUUUUCAGCUGAUUGCAGCUAAUCUGGCAGCAGCUGGCACCCCAACACCAUCACAGCCAGCCCACUCUGACCAUGAUAAGAUUAUUCUCCAGUUUGGUAAAGUUGGCAAGGACAUGUUUACCAUGGAUUACAGAUAUCCUCUCUCUGCAUUUCAGGCUUUUGCCAUCUGCCUGAGCAGCUUUGACACCAAAUUGGCAUGUGAAUAGAUGAAAAAGUGACAUGUUAAGCAAAUGGAACAUGUAGCUGGGAUAUUGGGUCUCUUUGCUUUCCAGCCUUUAUAGGAUGGGGUGCUUGUAUGCUGUCUAUGUACAACAAAUAUCCAGAGACUGGCAAGCACAGUACAUUUGUGCGCCUCAGGAUUCUUAGUUUUUGCCUUUUUUUUUUUUCCUAUUUUCUCCGUUGUGGUAGAUUGCUUGAUUGCUUUAUAAACGGUUUCAUUGUAUGUCUUCAGUUCAAUCUUUGAUGUUCUAAUCAUACUACCUGAAAAUUAGAGUUGAAAUAUGGAAGUUCACCGCGUUCAGUCUCUCUUUGGAGCUCGGUCUUUAUUAUAUUAGCGUUUCGUUCCAAUUAUGAACUUGCCAACCUGGUUUAAGCAGCUACAUCUUUUAUUCUCAUAAUAAACGAUUCAGAUGUAUUAUUAAUGUAUUAUAUAUUUGUUUUUUUGUAAUUUUUAAUUUAUCUUUAAAUUUUUAUUUUUAUUUAUUUAGUUGAAGAAGAUAUUAUAUUCAUAAAAUUUUUUGAAUCUCAAUUUUAAAGUUUUAAUUUUUAUAUUCAUUUGAUUGGAAAGGAUGUUAAUAAAUUUUUUCGAAUUUGUAAUCUUAAAAUCUUAAUUUCAAUAAUGUCAAUUUGAUAAUAAAUUUUAUGUUUGUUAUUUAAUACUUAAUUUUGUAGAAAAUGGAAAAAGAAGUGUUCUCGUGGCACCUUUCCUUUCUUUCAAAAUUUUUUUUAUAAUUUAUUUUGUGUUUAUUUUAAUUUUUUAAUUAAUUUUUUAUUAAAUAAAUUUUAUAAAAGAAAAAAAAUCAAUGAAGGUAGAUAGGGAUAAUGAAACAAUCCAUAUUCAAUUAUUUUUUAUUCAAACUAAUCUAAACAUAAAUGCAUUUUUUAUAAAAAAAUUUGAGAUUAAAUCGAGUUUUAAAAUAAAGUCAAGUUGAAAAUGAAUUUAAGGUGUUUGGGUUCAUAGUGUCCGCACGAUAUUUCUCUCUUCUCUCUCUCUUUUUUUUUUUAAUUUUUAAAGCUGUUUUUUUUUUUUUUUUGGGUUACUUUUGGGGAAAGGAUUUUUUUGAUUUUCACUACUUAAAAAUAAAUGUAAAUUUCCACAACAUUAUCCAAAGGUAAAUAAUGUACUUUCAAUUAAAUUAAUGAUUGAAUUUAAUGAUUUUAAAUUAAACAUAAAAAUUAAUUAAAAAUAUAGAAAUAGUUUGAACAAAUAUUAAUCAUAAUUUAAUUGUAACUGCAUUUAUCACUUUUGGAUAAAGGAAUAAAAAUAUUCAUUGAUUUUUAAGUAAUUAAGAGAAUCCUUUUCCACAUUUUUUUCAAAAAAAAAAUUUAUUUUUGCUUUUUAUUAGAUAAAUUUUAUAAUAAAAAAAUUAAUUAAAAUAAAAAUAAUAAAAUAAUUUAUAUUCAAUAAAUUUUGAUUCAAUUGAUAUUAUUUUUUAAUUUGAGAUAAUUUGAUUGAGUAUUUUUUUAUACUAAGCUCAGGUAGAAUAUGGUUUUAAGUGUUACCCUUCCAUCAUGGUAUAUAUAUAUAAAAUAUUUUAUUAUUUAUUUAGUUUUAUAUUGAUAUAUUAAAAAUAUUAUUUAAUUCUUUAAUUUAAAAAAUUUAUAAGCCAUUUCAUUUGGCUUUUUUUUGCUAUUUUUUUAAAAAAAUUUAUUUAUUAGAUAAAUUUUGCAAAUAAAAAAUCAACAAAUAUAAAGAUGAAAAAUAAUUUAUAUCAUAUAAGUUUUAAUUUGUUACGAUUUAAUAUAUUGAUACAAUUUUUUUAAAUAAAGAUUGUGUUAAAUUUGCCUUUUAAAAUAAUUUGGACAAGUGGGUAUCGAUUUGAGAUGUUUUGUUUUAAUCUCUUCGAGGUAUAUAAAAAAUAUAUUUUAUUAUUUAUUUAAUAUAUAUAUUAUAUUAAUAAAAAUAUUAUUUAAUAUUUUAAUUUAACAAAAAAUUAUAUUUAUCUAUAAUUAAAUUAUAAAUUAUAUAAAAAUAAAUAAACUUAUAUUUAUUUAUAUAUUAUCAUCCAUUAAAAUUUAACAUAAAAAUUUUAUUUUUUUUCAUAUUUAAAAUAUAAUUUAAAAAUAAAAAAUUAUUUCGUAGUGCAGAUCUAAUUUUAAUUUCUAUAAAAAAUAUAAAAUAGUCCGACUUUUAAGGUAGGUUGCUUGUCGUAUUCAAGCUUGUGCUUGGAGUUCAUGUCUUGGGUCAAUACGGCCGGUCAUAGGCAGGAAAGCUAUUCCCACUUGAGGGGCCUUUUUUACGGCAAAUUCUAUGUGUUGCUGUCCACCUCUUCUUUGUCUGAGCCUUUUAACUGAAACCCGUUGGCAGCAACUGUCCGUUACGAAAUUCUAUACAGAUGCUGGAUAUUCCUUAUGACAAAACAACUGCAAGGCCUCAAACUUCCUCAGACAUGUUGGCCCAGCUUCACCACUCACGACGAGCUCAGCUUAUCCACCAAAGCUUACAGCCGUUGUUAUCCUCUCUUUGACAGCCAGAUUAAUGUAUUGAUGCUAACUUAUGAACUACGUUCUUAUUAUUUGUGUUGAAAUCUUUUUGUAAGGACGAUAACUUUGAAUUUCAAUGGCAUUAUUUUUAAUAUUUGAUGUCGUUAGGAUUGAAUUUUAAUUAUUAAAAUUAAAAUUUUUAUAUUUUAUCAUCAAAUUAUAUAAUUAUUUUGGUCUCUUACUAUGAUUGGAUUAUAUUUUACGUUGAUCGUCAUCUUAUUGCAAUCCUCUUCACUUUAUUUUUAAUAUACAUGAGUGUUGGAUCGUUAAGAAAAAAACAUGAAAAAAUUAAGAAUAUUUGAAAUGAAGAUGUUUAGAUAGAUAUGUAAUAAAAUUAAAAAAGAUAAAAUCAUAAAUGAAGAAAUUCAAAAAAUAUUAGAGAUAAUCCAAAAUGAAAAAAAAAAAAAAACCAUUUGAGAUGGUUUAUAUUUGUGAAAUGUAGGUCUAUGUGUCAAUUAGAUGAAAUGAACUUCUAAUUUUGGAGAGAUUAAAACUUUUAAAAAUAGAUCACGAAAGACGUAUAUAUAAAUAAUAAAAAAUAUAUGAAGAUUAAAAAAAUAUAUAAAAGGAUUAUUUUUAUAAAAAGAUUAAUAUAUAUAAAAAUAUAAAAAGAUUAAUAUAAAUAAGUGGUUCAAUAAAAUUUAAAAUUACUACCUAACAUGAUUUUUUUUACCUUUCAUAUAGACACCCUUAGAGUUAUUGGAUAUAAGUUUGUAAAUCAUAUUAUUUUUGAUAAUUUAAAAUUAAAUUUUAAUUAUUAAAGAUUAAGAGUUUAGUGUUUUGUCAUCAGAUUAUAUAUGAAUGUGGAUACCUCAUGACAUCUGGAUCAUUGAAAAACUUUUGAAUAUUGGAUAUAAACUAGUAAACUAACUAAUGGAUUUGAUCUCUUUAAUCUUUUUGGAACAUAGUUUCACCAAGCUUCAAAUUUGAAACCUCCAAAUUAUAAGCUGUUGGAUUGAAGUUCUCCAAAUUAGAAGCUGCUGGUUGAAGUAUCACAUCGGGGACAAUGGAUUGGCAUCUUUAUGCCUGCUAAUUGAUAGUAUUUGUUAAAAGUAUUUUGUUAUCCAAUUCAUUUCACUGUCUUUGUCAAUCCCAUGUCUCCAUCCUUGCAAUAUAAUACUGAUUUGACAGUUUAAAGAUGCCCACAAGCAAAAAUUCCAUACUCCCUUUCCCUUAACCGUCUCUGUCCUCGUAGGUCUUUGACUGAGAACCAUCACAGACAAUCACGACAGAUUUUGAUGGAAACAAAUAUCAAUAAAAUCAUGUUUCUGACCAAGUUUAAGGGGAUUUUUUUUUCUUUUUUUUUUCAGUCUUGGUCUUGUAAUUUUGUGUUUGUUUUGGAAUCAAGAUGGUCAGUGGCCCAGAAAGGUUUAACGUGUCUGACGACCUUGGUAGCAAGAAUUGGCGGUUGCAUUGUUUUUAGGAAAAGUUGAGCACUUUCAGAAAUCCAUUCAGUAACAAUCUAUCUCUGCUCUAUUACUCCAUUCAAUAAAACACACCGAUUUGGAAAAGCAUGAUCAGCAUUCUUAUGUUCUAGGACUCAGAAUCUAGCUAGAGUGGUGCCAAGAUCUCCCCUAACUUCACUUAUAUUUUCUAAAAGGUUUAAGUAAAGAAAAAAAAGGCUGGGUCUAAAAUUGGACCUUGAAGGUUAAGGGAGAUGGGAAAGUUGGUUCACGGUUGGACCUUGAACAUUAGCAGGAUUAUAACCAUUAGGUUGAUUCUAAAUUGCUUCUGACAUAUGGACAAAGGAGAGGGGCCAGAAGGCUUUAUCCUUAUCCCAGGACUAAGCUCAGUCGUCAGAUUUGUUUGCGGAAUUCGAGGCCAGGGACUUCAUCUUUAAGUGAGAUCCUCCUUGGGACAGCAAAUGGGACACAAUGUGGUUCUUGGCCUGACUGACAAGUGGCAAGAAGGGCAUAUAGCUUGAAAGGUGGACAAACUAAAAUGAAUCAAAUACCACCAUUGAACGUGUUAGUUUCUCUUCUGGUUGAUUCGUUGAGGGAUCGGCUGCUACUAAACAUGCCUUUCAGAUUUGGAGUCCCAAGUUUCAGCUUUGCCACUUAUCCUUGAAUCAGAGAUUGACAAUAAGGAAACCCUGUAUGAACAAUCACAAAGUAAACCUAUGUUGAAAUGAUGGUUGUCCUAGUGCGUUGUAUUGUAGUAGAUAACAAUUGUAUAUUCAUACAGACCAAAAAAAAGACCAGAGCUGACAACAAAACUAGCUAGUCCGCAUGGAAAACUCCAUCUAAAACUCUCAACUCAAGCAUUUACAUCAUCAAGCAGCAUAUUUUAUCAAUGCUGGAACUGCUAAUAAGGACCGCUCAAAGACCAGAUUUGUCCUUUGCUUUGCAAAGGAAGCUUCGAAUUAACAUCUGACAGAAAUUCUUCACUCACCUGGAGAUUGAAUUCAAUUGCACUAGCCAACGUAUUCAAGAUGCAGCAGCAAACAUGAAACUCAUACGUACUGAUAUAUAUAACCAAAAAUUGUAGGGAAAUAUAAAAUUUUUAUAGAGUUCACUCAUGUGAUUGAGCAACGGGGGUUCAACCCUUUUUGACAGAUUCUGAGAAGUGAGCACUCCUUGCAAGUUGCCGUGGACCCUUCAUUGAAGUGUCAAUCUGCACUUAAGAAACCCUUCUUUGCUUGUUCAGGGAGGCAUAUAUUUUCUACAACUGUUUCUAUGAACUCCAAUUAAGACCAUUGAAUGAUGAUAAAUGUGGAGUUGAAGGAUCUGUGUUUCUCUCCCCUUUUCUUCCUCAUGCCACGCGCGCUGUAUAUCCAUAUACAUCUGUCAAUGAAGGAACCUCAAAUUGAAAAUGGUUACCGAUAGAAGUCACAUUUCUAUAUAUUAUAAUAAUGAGGACUGGGAAGCAACCUUUCCUGUCCCACUCGAACCCAGAAAAUUAACACAAUAUCAAAGCUCAGGUUCUAUUCCGUAUUCCUUUAUUAUACCCCUUCUGAACACGUGAUGAUUAGGCCUAAACGUAGUGAAGGCCUAUUAAGUGGUAUUAUUCUACGUUUGUCAAGUCUUAAGUUACUUGCGAUCUUAUAUUCAAAUUUAUCCUCUCCACUUAUUAUUAAUUAAUUUUAAAUUGCAUACUUAACAAAAGCAUUGAAGAAACUCUCUUAAGAUUAAAGGUAGUUUUUAAAAUCUUUCAAACCAAAUGAACCUAAAAGAAGGAUUAGUUUAGAAUAUCGAUUUACCUAACUAAUAUCUUUGGAAAUCAUUGCGUAAUCUUGAACCUAACUUAUCACCAUCAAAGUGUCACCUUAGGUUGCACAAAAUGGCAUUAUUGUUCUUAAAUUAUGGACCUAAUUUAAGAAGAUUAUAGAUGAUUUUGGACUGUUUCUCCUGUCUAAUGCGCAUGGAGAGAGGGAGAGAGAGAAAGACUCUUGUAGGGACAGUUGGUGGAGCACCAAAUCUGAACACUAAAUCCCGUAAGAUUGAUGCUAAGUAUCAAAAUUGUGGUGGCAGAAGAAAUGGAUUACAAAUGGACUCACUCAAAAGUGAUAAGAGGUCACUGAUCGCUAGUGCAACUUUAUUAACAACAUUAUCACUGCAAAUUUGAAAUGCCUUUUUUUCUUUUCAGUUGCCACCCAAGGUUUUAAAAGAAAAAAAAAUGCAAUGUAUCCUGCAGGAACUUGAUUUUGACUUAUUAAAGCCAUCCUGUUAACAGAUGAUGCGCUUGGUUACUGAACAAAGGAUGAUUUUUCUUCCUUCUCUUGUCAGUUUAUCAGUUAGUCUCUUCUCUUCUGAUGAGGAUCCCAAGAGUGUUGAGUUUACAAGGAAACUGGGCAAAAUUCCUAAUCUCAAUGCUGUUAUUAUAUUUGCUAUCCAGAAAUUUAACAGAAACAUGAAAAGAAACAAAAACCAUCCAUACUAUUUGCAAAAAAUAAUUUAAUUCUGAAGCUAGGCUACUUAGCUUGACCAUUGGUUUAUAUUUUAUACUAAAUCACUGCAAUAACAACUUUUAAUCUUCUUUUGGCCAUUACUUUUGUAUUAUUAUUAUUAUUAAUUUCAGGAGUAACAUUUGGCCUGGACCUAUAAUGACAAAAACCUUAUUAUUGAUAAAAAAUUUUCAAGCUAAUAUAAUUGUAUUUACUGGAUAUAUAAAAAUGCCGUUGAAAUUGUUUAGUAAUUUAAGGUACUCUUUUCCUAUACCGCAACCUUCCAUGUGCUAACAAAAAUAGCGAGUAGGCAACUAAAAGCCCAAGCAAUAAUCUCGAGCUCCUUAAGCCUUUACGGGCCAUUUAAAUUCAACAAGUUAAGCCCACAAGGCCGAAGCCCAACCCACCAGAUAUUUCCCUCUCAAACCAAUGGCAAUCCAGUAAUUCAACCGUUGACUUGUCCUUUCUUUUUUCGCUCUUCUCCUGGAUCAUUCAUUAUUAUUCUCUUUUAUGGUUUUUUUUUUUUUUUUGUUCAUUUUUCAAUUUUCAACUGGUUUGAGAAACUCAUGAGAAUUUGCCCAAUGAUGUAGAACUAAGACCGUUGAGCGGUUGCUAUGGUUUUUGUUUUUCUUUUUUCGAGCUUUUACUCACCGCUCCUCCGCCGCCGCCGCCACCACCUCCACUUCAACCGCCAUCACAACCUACUACCACUUCAUACAUAUAUAUACACAUACAUAUACACAUUUAUGCGAGUGGUGGUGAGUAAAGGCUUUGGAGGAACUGCCACUAGCACGAAAAACUGCGGAUGAUUUGUUCAAAAGCUAUGAGAUCUGAGGGCUUUCUCAUUUACCUUUUGUAACUUUUUACAAAAUAUCCAUUUUUGUAUUUGACUCAUAAAGCAUCUUCCUUUUACACAAUAGUAUUUUCAUGAAGAAUGAUAAUCAUGCAUGCACGGGGCUCUGAGCAUUUUUUUUUUUUGAAAAAAAAGCGUAACCUUGAUGCACUUGCAGGCCAGAAAGCUUUAUCUGACACACCCAAGUUUUCUUUUUUGGUUUUUUUGUGGAGAUUACGUUAUAAUGCUAAUUUUGUCUUCAAUUUGUGGUUAAAAAAAAUGCUGUCAAACAAUUGCCAUUAGCAAACUU